rnacentral:rRNA from 1 species
AGCGAACGCUGGCGGCAGGCCUAACACAUGCAAGUCGAACGAAGUCUUCGGACUUAGUGGCGGACGGGUGAGCAACACGUGGGAACGUACCUUUUGGUUCGGAACAACUCAGGGAAACUUGAGCUAAUACCGGAUGAGCCCUUAGGGGAAAAGAUUUAUCGCCGAAAGAGCGGCCCGCGUUAGAUUAGCUAGUUGGUGAGGUAAAGGCUCACCAAGGCAACGAUCUAUAGCUGGUCUGAGAGGAUGAUCAGCCACACUGGGACUGAGACACGGCCCAGACUCCUACGGGAGGCAGCAGUGGGGAAUCUUGCGCAAUGGGCGAAAGCCUGACGCAGCCAUGCCGCGUGAAUGAUGAAGGUCUUAGGAUUGUAAAAUUCUUUUACCAGGGACGAUAAUGACGGUACCUGGAGAAAAAGCCCCGGCUAACUUCGUGCCAGCCGCCGCGGUAACAC